rnacentral:rRNA from 1 species
ACGAACGCUGGCGGCGUGCUUAACACAUGCAAGUCGAACGAGGAUGUUGGCUUCGGCUGACAUUCGAGUGGCGGACGGGUGAGUAACGCGUGAGCAAUCUGUCCCACAGAGGGGGAUAACAACUGGAAACAGUUGCUAAUACCGCAUAAGACCACAUUACCGCAUGGUAGAGGGGUCAAAGGAGCAAUCCGCUGUGGGGUGAGCUCGCGUCCGAUUAGUUCGUUGGUGAGGUAACGGCCCACCAAGACAGCGAUCGGUAGCCGACCUGAGAGGGUGAUCGGCCACAUUGGGACUGAGACACGGCCCAGACUCCUACGGGAGGCAGCAGUGGGGAAUAUUGGGCAAUGGGCGAAAGCCUGACCCAGCAACGCCGCGUGAGGGAAGAAGGUUUUCGGAUUGUAAACCUCUGUCCUAAGGGACGAAGGAAGUGACGGUACCUUAGGAGGAAGCCCCGGCUAACUACGUGCCAGCAGCCGCGGUAAUACGUAGGGGGCGAGCGUUGUCCGGAAUGACUGGGCGUAAAGGGCGUGUAGGCGGCAGUAUAAGUCCGGAGUGAAAGUCCUGCUUUCAAGGUGGGAAUUGCUUUGGAGACUGUACAGCUUGAGUGCGGAAGAGGUAAGUGGAAUUCCCAGUGUAGCGGUGAAAUGCGUAGAGAUUGGGAGGAACACCAGUGGCGAAGGCGACUUACUGGGCCGUAACUGACGCUGAGGCGCGAAAGCGUGGGGAGCGAACAGGAUUAGAUACCCUGGUAGUCCACGCCCUAAACGAUGAACACUCGAUGUUGGCGAUAUACGGUCAGCGUCUAAGCGAAAGCGUUAAGUGUUCCACCUGGGGAGUACGCCCGCAAGGGUGAAACUCAAAGGAAUUGACGGGGGCCCGCACAAGCAGCGGAGCAUGUGGUUUAAUUCGACGCAACGCGAAGAACCUUACCAGGUCUUGACAUCGAUCCAAAGCUACAGAGAUGUAGUGUGACUUCGGUCAGGAGAAGACAGGUGGUGCAUGGUUGUCGUCAGCUCGUGUCGUGAGAUGUUGGGUUAAGUCCCGCAACGAGCGCAACCCUUAUUGUCAGUUACUAACGGGUGAUGCCGAGGACUCUGACGAGACUGCCGGGGACAACUCGGAGGAAGGUGGGGACGACGUCAAAUCAUCAUGCCCCUUAUGACCUGGGCUACACACGUGCUACAAUGGCGCGUACAGAGGGCUGCAAACUCGCGAGAGUAAGCGAAUCCCAAAAGGCGCGUCGUAGUCCGGAUCGGAGUCUGCAACUCGACUCCGUGAAGUCGGAAUCGCUAGUAAUCGUGGAUCAGAAUGCCACGGUGAAUACGUUCCCGGGCCUUGUACACACCGCCCGUCACACCAUGGGAGUUGGGAGCACCCAAAGCCGGUGAGCCGACCGCAAGGGAGCAGCCGUCUAAGGUGAGACCGAUGACUGGGGUG